UCCUGUGUUUCCUUUGAUGCGUGG
rnacentral:miRNA from 1 species